CAUUACCGUACUAUGGAGGUGCCAGGGCUGUCGCUGACUCUUAAAGUCGUGCACGCCCGAGCACUCUCACAUACAAUCCAUCUCACCCCUUGUGCACCACCGCGUGGGCCCCUUUCGGCUCGUUCCGAAGGGUGCUCGCGUUUAAACAAAAACUUUAAUGCGGUGUAGAAUGUCAUGCGAUAACACGCAAUCAAUAUAACUUUCAACAACGGAUCUCUUGGCUCUCGCAUCGAUGAAGAACGCAGCGAAAUGCGAUACGUAAUGUGAAUUGCAGAAUUCAGUGAAUCAUCGAAUCUUUGAACGCACCUUGCGCCCCUUGGUAUUCCGAGGGGCACACCCGUUUGAGUGUCGUGACAUCCUCAACCUUUCUCGGUUUCUCGAUCGGGGAAGGCUUGGAAUUUGGAGGUUUUUGCUGGCCUCUCUUGAAGCCAGCUCCUCCCAAAUGAAUUAGUGGGGUCCACUUUGCCUGAAUCCUCGACGUGAUAAGAUGCUUCUACGUCUUGGGUUUUGCUCGGGAACCCGCUUCUAACCGUCUCGUCAGAGAACUCUGUUCGGGCCAGCACCUUUUAUGGGUGGGAAGCUCGAGCGCACGAAAACCUGACCUC
rnacentral:rRNA from 1 species